GCACGACACGGUUUUUGCAGUGUUACUAUAUUAUUAUCAUAAUUAAACUUGACUUUAUUUUCAUUUAUUUUCAUAUAGCAACAAACAUAUACCAAUGAGUCUAUCUGGGGACACCAAAGGAUUCGACGUGUUAUUCAUCAAUCCUUACAGACUUCACAUAAUCGAGACGUAACAUGACAGUUCAAUUUAUAUCGAUUGCUAACUCUAUGCGACAUCCUUCUCUGCCUCCAUCAGCUUUCACACUCAAGAGAUCUGCAAACCUCUCAGAAGAGAAACUUUACCUUUCAGUAUUUUGAUACGUGAGAAAAAAUAAAAGGUCAUCUUCCAGCGGGCCUCCGGAACCAUACAGUCACAUGACACGAGACGCUAUAGUUUAGCUAAACCCCCAUCCAAGACCCAUUAAAUUUGUCCUCAAAAUGCGAACAACAACGUCUGUCCAGACCGCUACGGAAUGCAUCUGACACAGCACAAAUAUAUGAGACAGUGCCAUGGCCAACGUGCUCUGUGCUGCCCUGUAGCAAUGGAAUACAAAAGGAGAUCAUCAUGAGGGUGUCAUAAAACAAACAAUAAGGACUGUGCACAGGACAAACGUGCUGUUAAACUAUUAAAGUUUCACACCAUCCUCAAUCAAGCUCGUACCAACUCGUCAAUUUUCCUCCCUGCCAACUAAUGGAGAUGUAAUUGUAAGAAUCAACAAGUCUGUUUGUAUUGCCAACCCCGUCUUUCCUUGGAUGACAGAAUUCGAGCAAAACCCCACGAAGAAGAAUCACAGCGCCGUGUCAGUUGAUGGUGAGUAAAUAGGCCUGCAGCUGUCAUAUGGCAACCCAAAAUAAACAAUUAUUUACUACUAACGCACAUAAUAUUGCUAUGCCAUAAUUCAUAUAUUUCACGAGCAAUAAUAUGUGAAACCCGUUUACGCAGUUUAAUUUAAAGAUGCCAUGUGUUCAUUUAAUACAAUUGAGUAAUCGCUUUAAAACUCGUAUCCUUUUAUAGAAUGCAUGAGCGACAAGAAAACCCCGCUGGGAAUCAUUGCCUCAAAAAGAGCACGUACUGCUUAUACAAGUGGCCAGCUAGCAGAGCACGAGGAGCUCCACUUCAGACGCUUUUUUUUGUGCAGGCGGUGUGAGGAAAUGGCCAGUUUACUCGAACAUAAUAAGAAGUACAUAAAAACUGAAUUGAAACAUAAAAAGACUGAAGGUUCAGAAGGAUGCAUUAGCUGGACCAUGUAAAGAACGACCCACCACCAUGCAGCAAUUAUGAUCAGUUAUUUGAAACCAGUGGCCGAAACCUUAAUGGAUAGAGGGACUUCUCUUCCAACGUGUUGCUUCUCUUUUAUAUAUACUCGUGCAUCUUGCUAUUUGUGAAAGAUAAAACUUCCUUUGACCAAGAGUGUAUUUAAUAUGAGUGGAAGUACAGGGAUUCAUGGCAUUCACUGUCCCUCCUUAAAUGUACGGGUGGAGAUGGUUAUGAAGCAAGCGUUGUCUAUCUUCUUGACAACCACAUCUCUAAAAAAAUUCAAGGUUUACCUUUCUGCGCCUUACAAUAACAUAGCUUCCCCCCGUCCCAAAUGACUAAAUGCACGUAAUUCUCACAAAAGUUACGUUUAUGGAAAUUAAAUGCAAGCUCAAUUUUAGUUUAUUGUAUUUAGGUCUAUCAAUUUGAUGUUUUCGUUCGUGAGAUUUAGGAUUUUAGCUGCCUUAAUACAUUCAACGUAGCCUCAAGAUUAUAUCUAAUCUGGGACCAUUUAUAAUUUAUGACCUUCCAUGUCCCAGGGGAAUCAAAAUGUCUGUAGCC